CGCGCGCGAGAGCCAAGCGAGAGACAGCGCAAGCAUGUGCACAUGGGGAGAAAAAGCCAGGUGCCCCAGCCCACAGCCAGCACCAAGGCCCCAGAUGUGUGAGUGAAGCCAUCUUGGAGGCUCCAGUACCAGUUGAACCCACAGAAUUGUGAGAAAUUAUUGCUGUGUAAGCCAGUAAGCAGUAAGUUUUGGGGUGAGUUGUUACCCAACAAUCAGUAACUCAGACUUACGUAUAGAAAAAAAAAAAGAUCUCUGGGGCAAUAAAAACCUCAUUUUGGGCCAUCCUAAACAUGAGGUGUUUGGGAUAGUAGAUAGUUACAUGGAAACAUCUAGAAAGCAGUUGGAAGAUCAGGUCUGGGCUCAAGAGAGAGGCAGAGGGAGGAGCUGGGGAUCUGAGAGUCAAUCAGCACAUGAACAGGACUUGGCACCCUGGGAGAAGGUAAGCUUGCCAAAGGAGGUGAGAGGAACAAGAAAAGAAAUAGAAUUCUGGCCUCACUUAUAUUUAAGGGAUGGACACAGAGAAGUUUAUCAGGGAUGAAUAAAGAACCAAGAAAGAACCAGGGAGAUAAAUUCCUGCUGUGAGAAGAAGGGGUAAUCAAAUACUUAGGGCUACAAAGAGCGAUGCAUUUGAAAAUUAGGAAGGAAUGGGAAUAGGGCAAUUUCCGUUUCAAAUACAAUGGCAGGGGCAGAAGUCGGAUAAGUGGCUAAGGAGGGAAUGACGAUUGAGAAACUGGACACAGCAAAUGUAGACUAUUGUUUUAAAAGUCUAUUGUUAGGGGAAGAAAGUUAGAACAUCACUUGGGUGGAUGAUAGGACAAAAGGUAAAUUGUUUUAAGUUGAGGAAACUUGCUUGCUGAGAGGAGAUGCCAAAGAAAAGAGAGAUUAAAAAUCCUGAAGAAAGAGGUGACUGGUGGCUCGAGGUCCCAGGCAAUGGAAGGAAGAGGACAGAGAACCCUGGUGGGAGCUUUGCCCUGAGUGAGAAGGAGAGAGACAAAGAGGUGGGUCUUCACAGAUAAGUUAGAAGUGAGAGGGGAGGCAUGUGGAGGUCCUAUCUGGCCACCUCUUUUCUGUGAAGAGUAGGUAAGGUCAUCUGCUGACAGGCAGUGAGGGUCUUGGGGAGAAUGGUGUUCACUUCUAAAGAGUUUUAUAGGAAAUGCAUGAGGGGCUGCAGGAGUCAAGCCCAGACUCUUCAGAGACACCACCUUCCAGGGAUACCCCAGCUCCUGAGGAGUAGGCUCUUCACAUGAGCUUUUCCCCUCUGACCUGCCCCAAAUCCCAUUGUCUUCUCUUGAGCUGGUCUCCUGCUUAGAUUGCCCCACCUGGGAAGCUCUCAUUCAUUCCCAACUUCAUUCUCCAAGUAUUUGCUCAACAUCCACACCAUACCCAGCCCCAUUUCUCUGGACAACACUCUCCCUAUUCCCCCAGGGUUUUCAAACCUUCUGCACACUUUCCAGACCCCCUACCUCCACCCUUUUCUCCUCAUACUCAGCAUGAGACCUCACUGUCUGCUUUAUAGAGGACGCAGAAACUAUCAGAGUCAUCUACCAACUACCAUACAUUUUCCUGCACCUGUACUCCCCUUUUCCUUUUCUAUAAAGAAAUGCUGAUGCGGCAUUUUAAAAUUGCAGUUUAACUUAGGGAGGUCUUGAUCAGCUGUUUUUGCUUUUGUUUAGAGACAGGGUCUCGUUUUGUUGCCCAGGCUGAAGUGCAGUGGCACGAUCAUGGCUCACUGCAGCCCCAACUCCUGGGAUCAAGCGAGCUUCCUACCUCAGCCUCCUGAAUAGCUGCAACUAUAGGUGCAUGCCACCAUGCCCAGACAAUUUUUUAAAACAUUUUUUUGUAGAGACAGGGUCUCACUAUGUUGCCCAGGCUGGUCUCAAACUCUUAGCCUCAAGCAAUCCUUUUGCCCCAGCCUUCCAAAGUGCUGGCAUUACAGGCAUGAACUGCCAUGCCCAGCCUUGAUCAGCACAUUUUAAAUGCAAUAAAUAGAAUAGAAAAUAGGGUCCACUGCACAUAGUAAGAGUAUUUAUUGUUUCUUAAAACAUCUGUUUCAAUUAUGACACAUCUGUUACUAUGAGUUGACGUCAAAAAGUCUAUGUAUGGCACGGUGGCUCACACCUGUAAUCCCAGCACUUU
rnacentral:lncRNA from 10 species